GGCCAUCGAGUUCCUCUCCCUUCCGAUGUGGAUGAAUGAACUGAUUCCUACAACUUCAGCGAGAAGAAUCAUCUCCUCAAUGAAAAUGGAAACUGCUCUUAGUUACAGAUGUUGAUGAAGUUCCCUGUGCAGUGAACCACCUAGCACCAACGUCGAUCUUCCAUUAUUUCAGGGGUGGAGGGGCUAGGCUGCUUUGGCCAAUAUAAUUCUCCUUCACACUCUGAUUAGGGAUAGUUCCUCUUUGCUUUCUAGUUUCUCCUUUCUCUUACUCUUUUUAAAAGCUAUCUUUCUCGAGUUAGAUCAUGCUGUUCUCUGUUUUAGAUGUUCAAUCUGCGAGAAGUUGCUGUUAAAUUAUUUGUAGGUGCUAAUGAUGUGCCAAUGAUCCAUGAGGCAGAUGUCGGCGUUGGUAUCAAAUGGUCGGUAGGGUCGGCAACUGGCAAGCUAUCAUGGCAUCAAAUCGGAUUUUUCCAUAGGGCAAUUUAGAUUUUUGGUUCCUCUUCCAUCGGUCCAUUGACAUUGGAAUUACCAGCGGAUGGGCUACAUGAUCAUGUACUACUUUUACAGAAAUGCAGUGUUUGUGCUUGUUUUAUUUUGGUAUGUGCUCUUUACCGGUUUCUCAUAGACGCCCACAAUCAACCAAUGGGGAGUAGUGUGCUCUACUGUAUAAUCUAUACUUGGGGUUGCCCACAGUUAUUAUUGGAAUUCUUGAUAAAGACAUGGGAAGGACUCUUCUUAGUUACCCUCAGCUUUAUGAGGCUGGCCUCAGAAAGGAGACUUACAACUCUGAAUUGUUUUGUUUAACAAUGAUCGACACUGUCAGGCAAAGAAUUGCUCUUUUCUUCAUCCCCCUCCUUGCAUACUGGGCUACCACCAUUGACGUUUCGAGCCUUGUGAUAUCUGGUUCAUGGUUCGCUGUGAUUUGGGGCACCACUUUUGCAACUGUCGUUUGGGUCAUUGUCUUUGAUUCGCUACCGUCACUUCCCAGUUACCGGUAUGUUCCUAUUUCGUACUGUUUCUGAAUCUCCAAUGUCGCAUAAUGAAAUAUUGAGGCUAACUCUGCUAUAUGCUGAGUAGCUCAUCAAUAGCUUUUUAAAACUUCACCAUCUUAACCGUAAAAU